rnacentral:tRNA from 1 species
GGAUGGAUGUCUGAGCGGUUGAAAGAGUCGGUCUUGAAAACCGAAGUAUUGAUAGGAAUACCGGGGGUUCGAAUCCCUCCAUCCG